rnacentral:rRNA from 1 species
AGAGUUUGAUCAUGGCUCAGAAUCAACGCUGGCGGCGUGCCUAACACAUGCAAGUCGAACGAGAAAGGGUAGCAAUACCUGAGUAAAGUGGCGCACGGGUGAGUAACACGUGACUAACCUACCCUGGAGUGGGGGAUAACUGAGGGAAACCUUAGCUAAUACCGCAUAACACCUAUGGGUCAAAGGAGCAAUUCGCUUCAGGAGGGGGUCGCGGCCGAUUAGUUAGUUGGCGGGGUAAUGGCCCACCAAGACUGUGAUCGGUAUCCGGCCUGAGAGGGCGCACGGACACACUGGAACUGAAACACGGUCCAGACUCCUACGGGAGGCAGCAGUGGGGAAUUUUGCGCAAUGGGGGAAACCCUGACGCAGCAACGCCGCGUGGAGGAUGAAGUACUUCGGUACGUAAACUCCUUUCGAUCGGGACGAUUAUGACGGUACCGGAAGAAGAAGCCCCGGCUAACUUCGUGCCAGCAGCCGCGGUAAUACGAGGGGGGCAAGCGUUGUUCGGAAUUAUUGGGCGUAAAGGGUGCGUAGGCGGUUUUGUAAGUCUUGUGUGAAAUCUUCAGGCUCAACUUGAAGACUGCACGAGAAACUGCAGGGCUUGAGUGUGGGAGAGGUGAGUGGAAUUCCUGGUGUAGCGGUGAAAUGCGUAGAUAUCAGGAGGAACACCUGUGGCGAAAGCGGCUCACUGGACCACAACUGACGCUGAUGCACGAAAGCUAGGGGAGCAAACAGGAUUAGAUACCCUAGUAGUCC